AUUGAACGCUGGCGGCAUGCUUUACACAUGCAAGUCGAACGGCAGCGCGGGCUUCUGCCUGGCGUCGAGUGGCGAACGGGUGAGUAAUACAUCGGAACGUGCCCAGUAGUGGGGGAUAGCUCGGCGAAAGCCGGAUUAAUACCGCAUACGACCUGAGGGGGAAAGCGGGGGAUCUUCGGACCUCGCGCUAUUUGAGCGGCCGAUGGCAGAUUAGCUAGUUGGUGGGGUAAAGGCCUACCAAGGCGACGAUCUGUAGCUGGUCUGAGAGGACGACCAGCCACACUGGGACUGAGACACGGCCCAGACUCCUACGGGAGGCAGCAGUGGGGAAUUUUGGACAAUGGGCGAAAGCCUGAUCCAGCAAUGCCGCGUGUGUGAUGAAGGCCUUCGGGUUGUAAAGCACUUUUGGCGGGAACGAAAAGGACUGUGCCAAUACCACGGUUCGAUGACGGUACCCGCAGAAUAAGCACCGGCUAACUACGUG
rnacentral:rRNA from 1 species